AUUGAACGCUGGCGGCAUGCCUUACACAUGCAAGUCGAACGGCAGCACGGGUGCUUGCACCUGGUGGCGAGUGGCGAACGGGUGAGUAAUACAUCGGAACGUACCUUAUCGUGGGGGAUAACGCAGCGAAAGUUGCGCUAAUACCGCAUACGCCCUGAGGGGGAAAGCGGGGGACCGUAAGGCCUCGCGCGAUUAGAGCGGCCGAUGUCUGAUUAGCUUGUUGGUGAGGUAAAAGCUCACCAAGGCGAUGAUCAGUAGCUGGUCUGAGAGGACGGUAAGCCGAACUGGGACGGAGACACGGCCCAGACUCCUACGGGAGGCAGCAGUGGGGAAUUUUGGACAAUGGGGGCAACCCUGAUCCAGCAAUGCCGCGUGAGUGAAGAAGGCCUUCGGGUUGUAAAGCUCUUUUGUCAGGGAAGAAACAGCAGCUCUAACACAGUCUGCGAAUGACGGUACCUGAAGAAUAAGCACCGGCUAACUACGUGCCAGCAGCCGCGGUAA
rnacentral:rRNA from 1 species